CUCUCUCUCUCAUAUCCCAGCUCCUCUUCUCUGCCUCCCUCUCUCUCAUCUCCAAAUUUUUUUGGUUUAAUGGAGGACAGAGGAACUAGAUCUGUUUUCUCUCUCCUUCGACACCCACUUCCGGUCACCAACGUGACUCACCUCCACCAUCACCGACCUCCGACGAGUUUAACGCAGCCUCCUUGAGUCCCUGCAACAACCCACGCACCGACUCUGCUCACUUCCACUGUCAAGCACCGCCUCCCUCCACUCCAUCGGCAUAGUCGACCCAGAUUUCUGCUAAUUUUAUUCAAUUGGGUAUAACAUGAGAAGUUUAGGCAUAUUUGAUCGGGUGAGCGAUUGUGUAUCAUUGAUUUCCUAUUAUAGUUUGCGUAAUAGUGGCUUUUGGUUCAGAGGGCAAAACCAUUUGGGUUCUGCGGACAAAGAGAAAAAGAGAGGAAGCAAAGUUCAAUUCUCUGUGACUGAUAACAUGACCCUAAUUAACACAGUAUAUUACCUUUAGAGAGGUACAGGUAGGAACAUUCCAACAAAAAAUUGGAUGCUGCUGUAAGUCAAUCUCAUUUCCCAGAUCUACAUGCUAAAUUCUCCUAAAUAUGAAAUUUUGAAUGAUUUUAAUUAGUCUAUUAUAAUUUCUUUGACGUUAUUGACCAGGUUGGCAAAACUGGUGGUGAGAAAUGACGAUCGUUGUCUAAUGUUGUAAAAAUUAUAUCGGAGAAAGAACCCUACUAGGCGAAGGCAGAGAAGAGGAAGGUUGAAUACAACAAGAACAUGGAUGUGUACGACAAGAAACAAGCAAGAGUGUUUCUGUUUUAAUUGUUAAUCUCCAGAAUCAAUGACAAGAUGGACCCAUUUGAAGAGAAGCAAGCUGUUGGUUAGAUGAUAGCAACAAUUGUGCAUUCAACCAACUGCGAGUUGUCAAACUUGAAAGCUAUCAAUAUAGGGAUAGAGCUGCUGAUAGAAGAGCCUUGAUUCUAUGGAAAGCACUUCUGAUCCUCUGCAUUUUGAGCAAUGGAAGAACUGUAUGCAGUAGUGAUUAUGUUUGGAAGGCCUUGAUUUUUUUAUGCCAAAAGUUGUGAAUGCUUCUUUAAUGUAAAGCACUUCAUUGUAAAUAUUUGAAGUAUGUUUAUUGUACAGAAAUAAAAGUAUUAUUA